UGGUUCACACAGCAGACAUUGCAUGGGAACAGCAUCCAAAUUCAGAGACAUGGCAAGGGGCACUGCAAUCACUGCAGCGAAUCUGGAUCCAGCUGAAGUGGCACUGCAUGCACACUGCAAUCACUGCAGCAUCACUGCAUCUGCCUUCAUGGGUACUGCUUCCUCCAUGACAGCAUACAUCAUCACUGCAUGAGCACUGAAUCCACAUUCAGGGUCACUGCAUCCAGUUGAAUUGACACUGCAGGUGCACUGCAAUGAAUGCAGGAUCACUGCAGCCUCCUUCAUGGGUACUGCAUCCUACUUCACAACAUACUGCAUCCACCUUGGGUCACACUGCAGAGGCUGCAAGGGCCCUACAUCCACAUUCAAAGAAAGGGCAGUGGGCUCUGCAACCACUGCAGCAACACUGCAUUCAGCUGAAGUGACACUGAAGGUGCACUGCAAUCACUGAAUGUUCAGUACGUCCACUGCUUGUUCACUGCAUCCACAUUCAGUGACACGGCAGUGUGCACGGAAACCACUGCAGGAUCACUGCAUCCACCUUCAUGGGCACUGCAUCCUCUGUCACAACAUACUGCAUCCAACUUGUCUGACACUGCAUCCACUGCAUGGGCACUGCAUCCACAUUCAGGGAACUUGAAGGGGGCACUGCAUCAACAGCGGGAUCACCGCAUCCACCUUCAUGGGCACUGCAUCCUCCAUUACAACAUACUGCAUCUGCCUUGUGGGACACUGCAUCCACUGCAUGGGCACUGCAUCCAGAAUCAGGGACACAGAAGGGGGCACGACAACCAGUGCAGGAACACUGCAUGCACCUUCAUGGGCACAGCAUCGUCUGUCACAACAUAAGACAUCCACCUUGUGUGACACUGCAACUACUGCAUGGGCACUGCAUCCACAUUCUGGAACUGUAGGGGGCACUGCAACCACUGCAGCAUCACUUAAUUCAGCUGAAGCGGCACUGCAGGUGCACUGCCAUCACUGCAGGAUCACUGCAGUCACCUUCAUCGGCACAGCAUACU
rnacentral:lncRNA from 1 species